CUAUAUUUAACUUGGAAAUUCCCUACUUGUUCUUGCACAAGAGAUGAUAGUCUAAUGUGUUAUUUUAUUUACUGAGUCCAUUUUUUUCAAUCUCUUCAGGUACUUUACUGUGCAGUGUGAAAAUUUGCAAAAUGAGGAAAGAGAAUACGUAUUUACCUUCUGCCAAGAAGAUCUUCCAGCGGUACGAAAGAGCCAAGUUUCAGGAGAAUAUUUUGUUGGUGGGGACCGUUGGGGCGGGUAAAUCAGCCACAAUCAACACCAUCAGCGCCGCCCUGUCGGGAGAAAAGAAAUAUCGCGCCCCUAUCGGGUCCCAGCUCUCCUCCCCAGACGCUAAAAGAAAGAGGACCACGACACAUCUUAUGUGGUAUAGAGGGUGUGGCAUAGAUGAGACUAGAAGGAAAGACAUGCAUGCACCAAAAUAUAUACC